rnacentral:rRNA from 1 species
GAUCAUGGCUCAGGACGAACGCUGGCGGCGCGCCUAACACAUGCAAGUCGAACGAGAGAGAAGGAGCUUGCUUCUUCGAUCGAGUGGCGAACGGGUGAGUAACGCGUGAGGAACCUGCCUCAAAGAGGGGGACAACAGUUGGAAACGACUGCUAAUACCGCAUAAGCCCACGGGUCGGCAUCGAUCUGAGGAAGGAAGUGAUCCCGCCGUUUGUUAGGAAUGGCCGUCCGCGUCCGACUAGU